AUUGAACGCUGGCGGCAGGCCUAACACAUGCAAGUCGAGCGGAUGAAGGGUGCUUGCUCCUGGAUUCAGCGGCGGACGGGUGAGUAAUGCCUAGGAAUCUGCCUGGUAGUGGGGGAUAACGUCCGGAAACGGGCGCUAAUACCGCAUACGUCCUGAGGGUGAAAGUGGGGGGUCUUCGGACCUCUCGCUAUCAGAUGAGCCUAGGUCGGAUUAGCUAGUUGGUGGGGUAAAGGCCUACUAAGGCGACGAUCCGUAACUGGUCUGAGAGGAUGAUCAGUCACACUGGAACUGAAACACGGUCCAGACUCCUACGGGAGGCAGCAGUGGGGAAUGUUGGACAAUGGGCGGAAGCCUGAUCCAGCGAUGCCACGUGUGUGGAGAAGGUCUUCGGAUUGUAAAGCACUUUUAGUGGGGAAGAAGGGCAGUAAGUUAAUACCUUGCUGUUUUGACGUUACCAACAGAAUAAGCACCGGCUAACUACGUG
rnacentral:rRNA from 1 species